rnacentral:rRNA from 2 species
UACAGAGGGUGCAAGCGUUGCUCGGAUUUACUGGGCGUAAAGCGUACGCAGACGGCCACGCAGGUCGGGUGUGAAAGCCCCGGGCUCAACCCGGGAAUUGCAUUCGAAACCAUGUGGCUCGAGUGUGGGAGAGGGUAGUGGAAUUCCUGGUGUAGAGGUGAAAUUCGUAGAUAUCAGGAGGAACACCGGCGGCGAAGGCGGCUACCUGGUCCACAACUGACGUUCAGGUACGAAAGCGUGGGGAGCAAACAGG